GGGGGAAAAUGUCUGACUGGAAGGAAGAACCCAAGAAACUAAAUCAGCAAUGAUGCAGAAAAGAGGAAUAUAAUGUAGAUGGAUUACUGGCCUUGGUGCAGGAAGUUCAUCAGGAGCAUCUCCUGGAACAGCGCACAAAGAGCCUUAAGGACUAUCAGAAAACGGGCUCAGAAAGUCUUGUUGAUCUACAGGACUCACACCAGUUAUAAACCCGUGGCCUUUCUACCUACACCACAGUAG
rnacentral:lncRNA from 1 species